CCAGCUGAAGCUCUGAACCUGUGAAGCCCCCACCAAUAUCCAACAUGUUCAUCUUAAAGCCAAAUUCUUCCUAAAAGGCAUAGGCAGAAUGUAAGUACACAGACAACUGUAACCAAUUUUUUUGUUGCUCCUUACUGUGGCUUUCUACUUACUGUGGU